rnacentral:rRNA from 1 species
UACAGGGGGGUGCAAACGUUGCUCGGAAUCAUUGGGCGUAAAGCGCACGUAGGCGGUCUGUUAUUUCGGAUGUGAAAGCCCUUGGCUUAACUGAGGAAGUGCAUCCGAAACUGGCAGGCUAGAGUACUAAAGAGGGUCGCGGAAUUCCCGGUGUAGAGGUGAAAUUCAUAGAUAUCGGGAGGAACACCGGUGGCGAAGGCGGCGACCUGGGUAGAUACUGACGCUGAGGUGCGAAAGCGUGGGGAGCAAACAGG